rnacentral:rRNA from 1 species
GACGAACGCUGGCGGCGUGCCUAAUACAUGCAAGUCGAGCGAAGGAACGAGAAGCUUGCUUUUCUGAUAUUAGUGGCGAACGGGUGAGUAACACGUGGAUAACCUGCCUAGUAGCGUGGGAUAACUUCGGGAAACCGUAGCUAAUACCGCAUAAUAUUUUGAGCCACAUGGUUUAUAAGUGAAAGACGCUCUUGCUGUACUUUAUGAAUGACUCCGCUUUGAGUUAGUUGGUUGGUAAGGUAAGGGCUUCCCAAGGCACCGAUGCUUACCCGACCUGAGAGGGUGACCGGCCAAACUGGACCGGGGAACCGGCCCGGACCCCUACGGGAGGCAGCGGUGGGGAAUCUUCCGCAAUGGGCGAAAGCCGGACGGAGCAAGGCCGCGUGAGGGAGGAGGUUUUUCGGAUCGUAAACCUCUGUUAUUGGGGAAGACCAUAUGUGUAAGUAAAUGUGCACACCGUGACGGUACCUAAUCAGAAAGCCACGGCUAACUACGUG